UGGGGUGAGCUCAGUGGUAUAGCACUUGCCUAGCAUAGCAAGUGCAAGGCUCUGGGUUUAAUCCCCAGCAAUGCAA
rnacentral:tRNA from 1 species